rnacentral:misc_RNA from 1 species
GAUGAAGAACGCAGCGAAAUGCGAUAAGUAAUGUGAAUUGCAGAAUUCAGUGAAUCAUCGAAUCUUUGAACGCACCUUGCACCCUUUGGCAUUCCGAAGGGUAUGCUCGUUUGAGUGUCAUUGUACUCUCACACUUCUAAUUCCUUUCGGGAUUGGGAGCGGUGGACUUGGGUGUUGCUGCUUUAGUUGUGGCUCACCUCAAAUAAGUUAGUGCAACUCUUGGUUGGACAUAGUACGGCGUGAUAAGUGUCUUCGCCGGCGCCUCUGUAAGGAGGGUGGCCGAUCGGGAGCUCUGUGCUUCAAACCGUCUUCGGACAAUCUUUGACAACUUGACCUCAAAUCGAGUAGGACUACCCGCUGAACUUAAGCAUAUCAAUAAGCGGAGGA